rnacentral:rRNA from 1 species
UGAGCGGCGGACGGGUGAGUAACGCGUGGGUAACGUACCUCAUACAGGGGGAUAACAGUUGGAAACGGCUGCUAAUACCGCAUAAGCGCACAGUACCGCAUGGUACCGUGUGAAAAACUCCGGUGGUAUGAGAUGGACCCGCGUCUGAUUAGCUAGUUGGUGGGGUAACGGCCUACCAAGGCGACGAUCAGUAGCCGACCUGAGAGGGUGACCGGCCACAUUGGGACUGAGACACGGCCCAA